AGCAAAUUCAGCAGACGCCAUGUUGUAAGUUAUACUGCAGCUUUCCUCCUUUCAGUCCUCUCGCUGCUGUUGUUGCUUGCAGGUCUUCCUGUUGCUGUUGUUGCUUGCAGGUCUUCCUGUUGCUGUUGUUGCUUACAGGUCUUCCUGUUGCUGUUGUUGCUUGCAGGUCUUCCUGUUGCUGUUGUUGCUUGCAGGUCUUCCUGUUGCUGCUGUUGCUUGCAGGGCUUCCUGUUGCUGCUGUUGCUUGCAGGUCUUCCUGUUGCUGCUGUUGCUUGCAGGUCUUCCUGUUGCUGCUGUUGCUUGCAGGUCUUCCUGUUGCUGUUGUUGCUUGCAGGUCUUCCUGUUGCUGUUGUUGCUUGCAGGUCUUC